UACAGAGGGGGCAAGCGUUGUUCGGAAUUACUGGGCGUAAAGGGCGCGUAGGCGGCCCGCUAAGUCGAACGUGAAAUCCCCGAGCUCAACUCGGGAACUGCGUCCGAUACUGGUGGGCUUGAAUCCGGGAGAGGGAUGCGGAAUUCCAGGUGUAGCGGUGAAAUGCGUAGAUAUCAGGAGGAACGCCUGUGGCGAAGGCGGCCCUCUGGACGGAUACUGACGCUGAGACGCGAAAGCGUGGGGAGCAAACAGG
rnacentral:rRNA from 1 species